UCGGUUUGACGAACAAUUCGUUUACCAAUUUCUUUUUCAGGGUAUGCUUGGUGUAUUUUUAAUGGUGCAUCACUACGUAGGAAAGGUGGAACAGUUCUUCCAAACGUUUGGUUCUGCAACAGAUCAAUAUGCGCAGUAAAUGACGACUGACCAUACCACCAACUAGAACCAAAUUUAUCCAACGAUCAUAUGUAGCUUUCGCUGUUUGGCGAAUCGAGAUUGUGGGUAAUGCAGUUGUUCAACUGAAUAAUACAAGAUGUUAGUGAUUUCCGAAUACUGAACUGUAUCUUUUACGAGAUUGUCAAUGCAUUUCAGUCAUGUAUAUAUGUAAAUGUAUAUACCGGAAUACCUUAAUAAUUGAAGGUCGGUAUUGAAACGAACUAAAUGGAUAUUUGAAAAGAUAUGUAAGCUGAU